AGCACCUGGUCCCAUUGUUCCACAGGCUAGAAAGGCCCAGCUUCCAGUUGCUCUUGCUCUCUUUCUGCCAGCACUUGCAACCUUUUUGUUUGAGCGUCCCAGCAGGGGCCUCCUUGGGAUCACAGCGUGGACAGGUGCAGAUAUGCGAGAGUCUUGCUGUUGCUUCUCUCCCUCUGACCGGGUGAGGGGUUCACCGAGCCUUCCUGUUCCUUGGGAAACACCCAGGGGGGAGCCUUGGCUUACAGGAUGUAAAAUGAGAUGCAGGUGGAGGGGAAAAAGCCCUGCUCCAGUGUCUGGUGUCGGCAGGAGGUUGGAGCCAACUAAUGUGACUGUGCAGGUGGAGCGGACCAGUAAGGGAAGAAGAGGACGUGUUACUGAGAGGUGUGUCUUUGAAAGAAAUGGCAGUGUCUUCAGAGAUUCUUCAUCUGGCUCCAAUCAAGACAUCUGAGCACAAGAGAGCAGUCGGUGGCGGUGGCCCACUGCCAGUAGAAACGAGCAGCAUAC